GGCUCAGGACGAACGCUGGCGGCGCGCUUAACACAUGCAAGUCGAGCGAGAACCAGGGCUUCGGCCCCGGGGAAAGCGGCGAACGGGUGAGUAACACGUGGGUAAUCUGCCCUCGGUACUGGGAUAGCCCGGGGAAACCCGGAUUAAUACCGGAUGGCCCUUCGAAUUUUCGGAUUCGACGGAAAAGGUAGCUUCGGCCUCCGGCCGAGGAUGAGCCCGCGGCGGAUUAGCUUGUUGGUGGGGUAACGGCCUACCAAGGCGACGAUCCGUAGCUGGUCUGAGAGGACGAUCAGCCACACUGGGACUGAGACACGGCCCAGACUCCUACGGGAGGCAGCAGUGGGGAAUCUUGCCCAAUGGGCGAAAGCCUGAGGCAGCGACGCCGCGUGCGGGAAGAAGGCCUUCGGGUUGUAAACCGCUUUCAGGAGGGACGAAGCCACUCGGGUGAAUAGCCCAGAGGGUGACGGUACCUCCAGAAGAAGCCCCGGCUAACUACGUGCCAGCAGCCGCGGUAAUACGUAGGGGGCAAGCGUUGUCCGGAUUUAUUGGGCGUAAAGAGCGUGUAGGCGGCUGGAUAGGUCCGUUGUGAAAACUCGAGGCUCAACCUCGAGACGUCGAUGGAAACCCUCCAGCUAGAGUCCGGAAGAGGAGAGUGGAAUUCCUGGUGUAGCGGUGAAAUGCGCAGAUAUCAGGAAGAACACCCGUGGCGAAGGCGGCUCUCUGGGACGUGACUGACGCUGAGACGCGAAAGCGUGGGGAGCGAACAGGAUUAGAUACCCUGGUAGUCCACGCUGUAAACGAUGGGUGCUAGGUGUGGGCGGUGUCGACUCCGUCCGUGCCGAAGCUAACGCAUUAAGCACCCCGCCUGGGGAGCACGGGCCGCAGGCUAAAACUC
rnacentral:rRNA from 1 species